CACUUAGAGGAAGGAGAAGUCGUAACAAGGUUUCCGUAGGUGAACCUGCGGAAGGAUCAUUCGCACUAUCCAAAACUUGUCGUGAACCUGGCUGAAUGCGACUGCUUGUGAGUUUGUUUUUGCAAGUGGAAGCUAUGGGCGACUGGAGGUAUUCGGAGCUGCACUGUGUGUAUGUUCUGGGUGCUGCCCAUCGUCAUUGGUCCCUCUUGGACCUUCCACAACUCAACUUACUCUUGUUUCAGCUUGUGUCAAGGAUAAUUUGAUUACAAUUUUCAGCGACGGAUGUCUUGGCUCGAGCACCUAUGAAGGGCGCAGCGAAGUGCGAUAAUCGUUGUGAAUUGCAGAACUCCGUGAACCAAUGGCCUCUUGAACGUGCAUUGCGCUCUUGGAAUAUGCCUGAGAGCAUGUCUGCUUCAGUGCUUCUACUUUCUUUUCUGCUGCUCUUGUUAUCAGGAGCAGUGCUGCUACAUGCUUCUGCAAUUGGCACUGGCAUGCUAAGUACCAAGUUUCGCUUGCUGUUGUGACUGAUCAACAUCUCAUGUCGUUUCAGUUGGCGAAACAAAGGCUUGUGUGUUCCAACACUUCC
rnacentral:rRNA from 1 species